UCUAGGCCCGAUCUCCCAACCCUGUGUUUACUCAACCUUUUGUUGCUUCGGCGAGCCCGUCCCCCAAAGGGACCGCCGGAGGACCGUCUACACGUCCUCUGGCCCGUGCUCGCCGACGGCCCCAAUCCAAAACCCAUGAACCAAACUUGAAUUGACUGAGUACCACAUUUAAUCAAAACAAAACUUUCAACAACGGAUCUCUUGGUUCUGGCAUCGAUGAAGAACGCAGCGAAAUGCGAUAAGUAAUGCGAAUUGCAGAAUUCCAGUGAGUCAUCGAAUCUUUGAACGCACAUUGCGCCCUUUGGCAUUCCGAAGGGCAUGCCUGUUCGAGCGUCAUUAUCACCUCUCAAGCCCCCUGGGUUUGGCCUUGGACGGCUGGUCGGGCGACGCCCGACCCCUCCUAAAGACAACGACGGCGGCUUUGUCUGACCCCCGGUACACUGAGCUUCUUAACCGAGCACGUGCCGGAACGAGGGUCGGCGGGCCACGGUCUUCUCCCCUCACGGGGAAAUUUUCUCAGGUUGACCUCGGAUCAGGUAGGGAUACCCGCUGAACUUAAGCAUAUC
rnacentral:sRNA from 1 species